rnacentral:piRNA from 1 species
UGGUAUGUAUGAAGCACUGAGCCUUACU